GUUGUCCCUCAGACGGCGCUGCUGCAGUGCGUCUUCGCACUUACGCGGAGCGGUAAUGUGAGGAAGCCUCCCGCCAAACAGAUGAGGGAGGAGGAGGAGGGGAGAGGCCAGAGAGAGAAGCGGCUUUCGGGAAGGAAAGUGUGAUCUAGUGCUGAUCCUUUUAGAGGCAGCCGUGGAAGAGGAAAAGAGAUCAGAAGAGAAAAGGAUAUUGGUUUGCGGAACAUGUGGGACAAGAAGUUCCCAGAAGAAUUUGUGAGCAACUUCCCGACAGUAAGGCCCUGGCUAGACCUCAGGAUGGUCCCUGCCUCCUGGACAUUAGGAAGCCCAAAGGCCAGAACAAAAACACAUGCCUAGUGGGGGAAGGCUCACUAAGAGGGCACCAAGUGGGGCAAAUACCCCUGGUAACCCAUUUAUGGAGGCUGCCACAGAAAUGCUAGUUGGAAAUUUUCCUCCUUCAGUCUAUCAUGAAUUUCUUUUUUCUCUUUUGAGAUGAAGUCGCCCGGGCUGCAGUUCAGUGGUGCAAUCUCAGCUCACUGCAAGCUCUGCCUCCCAGGUUCCAACGAUUGUCUUGUCUCAGCCUCCUGAGUAGCUGAGAUUAUAAGCACGCACCAUCAUACCCGACUAAUUUUUGUAUUUAUAGUAGAAAUGGGGUUUUGCCAUGUUGGCCAGGCUGGUCUUGAACUCCUGACCUUAGGGUGAUCCACCCAUCUUGGCCUCCAAAAGUGCUGGGAUUACAGGCAUGAGCCACUGCACUCGGCUGUACCGUGAUUAUUAGUUCAAGGUUCUCUUUCACUGGGGUAAAGACCUUAAGAGAGCAGUUUUUGGGCUUUAUAUUCUCAAUUUCCCGCACAGUGCCUAGCACAUAGCAAGGACUCAACAAAUUUCAUUGAAUGAAUGAAAAAACAUAGUUUACCAAA
rnacentral:lncRNA from 10 species